rnacentral:rRNA from 1 species
CCUACGGGGCGCAGCAGUGGGGAAUAUUGCACAAUGGGCGCAAGCCUGAUGCAGCCAUGCCGCGUGUAUGAAGAAGGCCUUCGGGUUGUAAAGUACUUUCAGCGAGGAGGAAGGCAUCAAGGUUAAUAACCUUGGUGAUUGACGUUACUCGCAGAAGAAGCACUGGCUAACUCCGUGCCAGCAGCCGCGGUAAUACGGAGGGUGCAAGCGUUAAUCGGAAUUACUGGGCGUAAAGCGCACGCAGGCGGUCUGUCAAGUCGGAUGUGGAAUCCCCGGGCUCAACCUGGAAACUGCAUUCGAAACUGGCAGGCUAGAGUCUUGUAGAGGGGGGUAGAAUUCCAGGUGUAGCGGUGAAAUGCGUAGAGAUCUGGAGGAAUACCGGUGGCGAAGGCGGCCCCCUGGACAAAGACAGACGCUCAGGUGCGAAAGCGUGGGGAGCAAACAGGAUUAGAUACCCGCGUAGUC